GAUAGAACGCUAGCUACAGGCUUAACACAUGCAAGUCGGAGGGGAAACGGCAUUUUAGCUUGCUAAGAUGGACGUCGACCGGCGCACGGGUGAGUAACGCGUAUCCAACCUGCCCCACCACUUGGGGGAUAACCUUGCGAAAGUAAGACUAAUACCCGAUGAUAUCUCUAGACGACAUCUGAAAGAGAUUAAAGAUUUAUCGGUGAUGGAUGGGGAUGCGUCUGAUUAGCUUGUUGGCGGGGUAACGGCCCACCAAGGCGACGAUCAGUAGGGGUUCUGAGAGGAAGGUCCCCCACAUUGGAACUGAGACACGGUCCAAACUCCUACGGGAGGCAGCAGUGAGGAAUAUUGGUCAAUGGGCGAGAGCCUGAACCAGCCAAGUAGCGUGCAGGACGACGGCCCUAUGGGUUGUAAACUGCUUUUAUAAGGGAAUAAAGUGAGUCUCGUGAGACUUUUUGCAUGUACCUUAUGAAUAAGGACCGGCUAAUUCCGUG
rnacentral:rRNA from 1 species